rnacentral:rRNA from 1 species
CGACCGCUGGCGGCGUGCCUAAUACAUGCAAGUCGAACGCUUCUUUCCUCCCGAGUGCUUGCACUCAAUUGGAAAGAGGAGUGGCGGACGGGUGAGUAACACGUGGGUAACCUACCCAUCAGAGGGGGAUAACACUUGGAAACAGGUGCUAAUACCGCAUAACAGUUUAUGCCGCAUGGCAUAAGAGUGAAAGGCGCUUUCGGGUGUCGUUGAUGGAUGGACCCGCGGUGCAUUAGCUAGUUGGUGAGGUAACGGCUCACCAAGGCCACGAUGCAUAGCCGACCUGAGAGGGUGAUCGGCCACACUGGGACUGAGACACGGCCCAGACUCCUACGGGAGGCAGCAGUAGGGAAUCUUCGGCAAUGGACGAAAGUCUGACCGAGCAACGCCGCGUGAGUGAAGAAGGUUUUCGGAUCGUAAAACUCUGUUGUUAGAGAAGAACAAGGACGUUAGUAACUGAACGUCCCCUGACGGUAUCUAACCAGAAAGCCACGGCUAACUACGUG